AUGCCGUGGUGUGGGCAUGCUGUGAUGUAUCCCUGGAGAUGUUUCCAGGCUUCGGGGAUGGUUUCAUCUUGGAGUUAUUGAAAAUUGGAAAUCCUAUUCCGAAGGGU